UACGUAGGGGGCAAGCGUUGUCCGGAUUUAUUGGGCGUAAAGAGCGUGUAGGCGGCCAAACAGGUCAGCUGUGAAAACUCGAGGCUCAACCUCGAGACGUCGGUUGAAACCGUUUGGCUAGAGUCCGGAAGAGGAGAGUGGAAUUCCCGGUGUAGCGGUGAAAUGCGCAGAUAUCGGGAAGAACAUCGGUGGCGAAAGCGCUCUACUGGACCGCAACUGACACUCAGGGACGAAAGCUAGGGGAGCGAAUGGG
rnacentral:rRNA from 1 species